CCUACGGGAGGCAGCAGUGAGGAAUAUUGGUCAAUGGGCGCGAGCCUGAACCAGCCAAGUAGCGUGAAGGAUGACUGCCCUACGGUUUGUAAACUUCUUUUAUAAAGGAAUAAAGUGAGGCACGUGUGCCUUUUUGUAUGUACUUUAUGAAUAAGGAUCGGCUAACUCCGUGCCAGCAGCCGCGGUAAUACGGAGGAUCCGAGCGUUAUCCGGAUUUAUUGGGUUUAAAGGGUGCGUAGAUGGGUUGUUAAGUCAGUUGUGAAAGUUUGCGGCUCAACCGUAAAAUUGCAAUUGAUACUGGCUGUCUUGAGUACAGUUGAGGUAGGCGGAAUUCGUGGUGUAGCGGUGAAAUGCUUAGAUAUCACGAAGAACUCCGAUUGCGAAGGCAGCUUACUAAACUGCCACUGACAUUGAUGCUCGAAAGUGUGGGUAUCAAACAGGAUUAGAUACCCGAGUAGUC
rnacentral:rRNA from 1 species